CGUGAAUUCAUCUCCGGGGGUAGAGCACUGUUUCGGCUAGGGGGCCAUCCCGGCUUACCAACCCGAUGCAAACUGCGAAUACCGGAGAAUGUUAUCACGGGAGACACACGGCGGGUGCUAACGUCCGUCGUGAAGAGGGAAACAACCCAGACCGCCAGCUAAGGUCCCAAAGUCAUGGUUAAGUGGGAAACGAUGUGGGAAGGCCCAGACAGCCAGGAUGUUGGCUUAGAAGCAGCCAUCAUUUAAAGAAAGCGUAAUAGCUCACUGGUCGAGUCGGCCUGCGCGGAAGAUGUAACGGGGCUAAACCAUGCACCGAAGCUGCGGCAGCGACGCUGAUG
rnacentral:rRNA from 1 species